CAUCGUGAAUCUAUAGAAAACGUGAAAUCAAAUUAUUUCAUAAUAAAUUUCAGUGUCCCAUCAAUCAAAUUUUUUUCUGUGCACAUCAAAGUUAUGAUUUCCUGGAAGUUGUUAAAUAAUCAAUAGGAUCGUGCUUAUUCUUGAUGUUGACGUGGAAGUUCCUUAUAGCCUAACCUAAGUACGUGGUCCUGGAAUGUCAAAAUGAAAUAGGAAGAACAAAAAAGUCACGUGAUUUUGAGAAAAUUAAAAAAAAAAACUUCUGGAAAGAUGAGCUUCGCACUCAUGUCAGUUUGAUGAAAAAUAUUUAAAUUGAAAUUAUUUUUACAAAUUCUUCUGGUUUGUCGUAAUAAUACAAAGAGCUAAUCUUGGACAUGCUAAGAAAGUUAUUUAAUCAAAUAUAUAAGUAUGAUCAAUUAUUCGAGCUACAUUGAAACAGCAACUUAAAAGACAUAACUCUAUUUAGAAAAAUAUUGGAGCGCAACACUUCCACUUGAUAUUCAUACCGAUGGAAGUACCGAAUACAUGUCUAAAUUCUUCCUGACAUCGGGUUUUGAAAUGCUAAACCGAUUGUGUAGCUCUGAAAGCUUUUUUAACUUGAAAUAAUUAUAUUUCUUCAAUAAUGAGAUUCAUAAAAUUUUGUAAGAUGAACAUCUGUCGUUCCAUGAAGGUGUAAAUGUACCUUAUGGAAAAAUGUACCUUGGGAAAGCAUGCAGUUAUCAUUUUUCUGAACAAAAUUUUCCUAAAUAUAUAUAUUAUUAAAAACCAACCAAAAAGAGUUGAAAAGAGUAUUUCAAUGAAUAAAUCGG